UACGUAGGGUGCAAGCGUUAAUCGGAAUUACUGGGCGUAAAGCGUGCGCAGGCGGUUUUGUAAGUCAGAUGUGAAAUCCCCGGGCUUAACCUGGGAACUGCGUUUGAAACUACAAGGCUAGAGUGUGGCAGAGGGGGGUGGAAUUCCACGUGUAGCAGUGAAAUGCGUAGAGAUGUGGAGGAACACCGAUGGCGAAGGCAGCCCCCUGGGUUAACACUGACGCUCAGGCACGAAGCGUGGGAGCAAACAGG
rnacentral:rRNA from 1 species